UACAAAGGACAGCUAAAGGAUUGCACUCCUCUAAUUCAAUGGACCUGAUCGAAGACUGAUCAUCCGACAAAUCGAGUUGUUGCAAUUUGUAGCAGUGCUUCAUCCUUAGUCUACGAAGCCUCGGGAGGCUUCCACGUUGAGGUCUCCAUUGCACCAAAUCGGUGUCUUCAAUUCGAAGUUCAAUAAGUUCCAAGAAGCUCCCCGGUUUUAUUUCCCACUCUGGGCCUCGAAAGGCAUAGCAACUUAAUUCAAGAAGCUUGAGUUUUGGCAGCAGCGAACCGAUGUCAUUUAAAGACCCCCAAGGAUAUCCAACGCCGCUCAAUUCUAAAUUAGAAAGACUUGAUGGGAACAUUGAAAGAUUAAUAAAAGUAGGAAAUUCACGCUUUAUCUCGGGAUUUGUGAUUCUAUAUACAAGUGUUUGCAAAUUCUGGUGUUCUGAUAUAUAACUCAAAGAACUCAAUGGGUUGGUUUCAUCAACAUCAUAAGGCUUCAACUCCACUUCAAUCAAUAAUUCCUUUAAAUUAGGAAUUCUUUUGAGAACAUCCCUUGUACAACUGUUUGCACUCACACCAGCAAGUAAGGUGAGUUUGUUCAAGGCAGCAUCAUCAGUAUUUGGGGUUGGUAGGUCCCUUCCCCAUAUCUCAAGAUGCUCUAAUUCUUCAAGAUCCCAAAUUUGCGCAGGCACGAAAGACUGUACUCCACGCUUUUUAAUGAUCAUAUGUCUAUGAAUAAGCAAGAAUUGAAGCUGAAAAAGUUUGGAUAUGGAAGCAGGGAGCUCGCCGUUGUAAAUUAUGGCAAGAAAUCGUAGGCAAACUAGUUUGAAAAUUUCAGUUGAGAUAUGGUAAAAUCGGACAUGAACAGCAUAUAGUACCCUAAGCAACUUGAAAUCCAUGGCAUGUAUUGGGAUUGGAUAUGGGUGAUAAGGACCAUAACAAAGGAGAGAACGGGCAGUCGAUGCACAAUCAAUUUUUAUCGAAUCACACACUUGUUUGAUGCAUAAUAAACUGUUCCAAUGGGCACACAAGCGGCGCUGGUCUUUUAUAACAUCAUCACAACUUCGUAAGACAUGCAGAAACUUGAUCCUACUAGCUUCUACCCUACACACGUGCUGCCAACAAGAAUGCACACGAUACUUGCAAUCCCAAAACGAAUAUACAUCCUCCUGUGAUGUGUCGAGAACAACAUGAUACAACAUCGAAAGCUUUUCCAAGCAUGACUUCAAAAAUAGAUAAAAACUUUCUUCUCCACUCAGUUGAAGAAACAUAUCAGCACUCAACGUACCGUUGAGCGUGUUUAGAUGGAUAUCCAAAUAUGGACAGAAUGCUCCCACGGAGAGAAAAAACAUUUUUAAAUAUUGGGGUAAGUAGUCAUAGCUUGGAAAAAGUACCUCUGAUAUUUGAUUAUAUGCAUCCACAAAAACUGAACGAUGUUGUUUGAGUACCCCAGUCCAGUAUUCUGGGGUCUUGUCCGCUUUUGAUAGGAGCUCUGCAACUGUGACAAUCAUAAGAGGAAGGCCUUCACAUUUCUUGACAAUCUUCUCUCCAAGUUUCUCAAGUUGAAAAGGAAAACCCUCUUCACCAAACACUUUCUCACCAAGUAAUUCCUUACUUUCUUCUUCAUUCAACAAGCGCACACUUUCACACCCACCCGUCUUGGAUCCUAUAUUUCUUCUACUUGUAAGUAAGACUCGAAUCUUUCCACCAAUAUUCUCUUCUCGCAACCAAUUUGUCAAGCGAUUUGCUGCUUGUAUCUCCCAAACAUCAUCCAACACGAUGAGACAUUUCUUAUCCUUCAAUUUUUCUUUCAAUAGUUCAACUAAUUUCUCCUCAUCAUCAUCUCCUUGGGUAAGCAGUUCGUAAGCAUUGGGAUCCACUUGAGCUAGAACGCAUCGUAAUAGUUCAUUAGAUUCACAUUUUCUGCCCACUUUGACCCAUGCUCGAAACUCAAAAUGGCUCCGAAUUGAUGGAUCUUCAAAAAUAUGCUUAGCAAGAGUUGUCUUUCCAACGCCCGCCAUCCCAAUAAUCGAAUAGGGUUCAUUGUCAUUUUCUUCAAGAAGAUAAUCUCUGGCUUUUUGAAAUUCAUGAGAUAAUCCAACCAUCUUUGACUUGAUUCCACCAAAAUCAACUCUUGAGGAAAUAGACUCGGCCUCUUCUUCAGGCAUAUUGUCCAUUUCAAAAGUGUAUUCCUCCUCCAUCAUCUUUAUCUUCUCGACGAAGCAAUCAACAUGGUGUUGCAGACUCUGCAGCUCUACAGGGAAUGACAAGCUGUCGAGUUGUGGAAGAAUCUGAUGUAAGACAUGGGAUUCGACUAAAUCUUCAAACUCCCAAACUACCUCUUUGAUUCGUUCAUCCACAGCAUUCACCUCCGUCCUGAUCUUGCAGCAGCUAGUGUCGUCCAAUUUGAGCAGAACUUUCUGCAAUCGAUCCGUCUCGUCGUAGGCAGGUUGCAAGAUUUGCGGAGAGUGGGAAACGAGAGAAAUGCGAGAGGAUUGUAGAAUACGCUGAAUUGUAUUCUUGAGAGAAGCCGCCGCACCAUAAGCCGCCAUACCCAAAUUAUCAGCUGAGAAUACGAUUGAUUGUUGAAAUGAAAUCUGCUUAGCUCUGCAAUUUUCCUCCAAAAUGAAGCUUAACACCAACUGCAGCACGACAAUCCCACACAAUUAGAUCGGAAUAAAAUCCGGUGAUAGAAAUGAACUGCACGAGAAACGGAGGAGAAUGAGGAAUUUUAAUAAGCAAAUUCAGCUGUACCUCUCAUAGAGUAGGGUCGGCGGCGCCAGCAGCUGGGUUUGUACGGUGGUCGCCGGAAUAAGAUGAAUGAAGGAGGUAAUAGGCGGCGCUGCGGAUUAGGGCUGCUGUUACAGAAUAGAUUUAUCAUUUAACAACUAAAUCAUACUACUAAUUAACACAAUAAAAAAAAAAAAANACAAAAGUAUACAACAAGAGCUCUUAAUCACAGCCCUCUCUGCAGAUUUACUUAAUUGAGUUGGGCUUAAUUACCUAAAUUAUUGGGUUUCCAACUUAAUUAACUAAUCUAUUUUCUGCUUAAUUAUCCUUAUAGAGGUUAUCCAAUAAUACAAUUGUGAUUGUACUAAAUAAUCCAUGCAUGAUGCUAACAAAUUUGAAAGUUGGCCUUGAGUUUUGGAUGAUUGGACGCAUUCUUCCUUUUUGGGCCUUGGAUUUUAAGUUCGGUCCAUGUUUUCCAUUUUCAUUAGAAUUCUUUUUGGGCUUUUGGUAAUUCGGCCUUUUAUUAUUUGAAUCCUUUCUCGGCCCUUUUAGUUUGUUAGGUGGGGUUUUUUUUUUUUGGAUAGGAGUUCCAAUAAUUUAAAUUCUAUAAAUCCAGCUACUCUAAAUUAAUCUCUAAGAAUGGUAAAAUGGAUGUAUUGAUGAUUUUGAAGGCAAAUUAAGGUGUGGAAGAAUAGUUAAAGGACCGAGAAACAAAUUAAGCAACGGAAGAUUAAUUAUGAAGAUUGAGCAGUUGAUCAAGCCGAGCACGUUGAAAAUUAUAACAGCUGCAAGCAAUCUAACUCAUAAAUAAUGACAACUUGACAUUUUUAAAUAAUUUAAAAUUUUAAAUAAAUAAAUAUAUUGUGGCUAGUAGUGUACAUUAAAUAAAAAUACUGAUAAAUUGCAAACAUUAAUUUUCUACAUUGUUAGAGGUGUAACUCUGUUUAAUUUAUUUGGAUUAUCGAGUUUGACAUAUAGCUUAUCUUUUGAAAAGAUUGAUCAUUUAUAUUUGCAUGCAAUUCAUCCAAUUUUUUACUUAUAAAUUAUAUGUCAACAAAAUUGGAUUUUGGGUGGUUGUAGAUAUAGCCCCAUUUAAACUAAUAAUAAUAAUAAAAAAUAAAAAAAUAGAUAAUUUUAUCCUUAUAACUCCCUAUUGAAAAAUUCUACUAUUAUAAACAAAUUCUGCUUAUACUAAAUUAUCCAUGACGCAAACAAAGUUCCUUGUGUUUUGGAUUGCUGGAGUUCGCAUCUUUCUUUGUUUGUGGGCUUAAGAUUUAGUGCUCGUUUGGUUUAAGUAGUUGGAGUUCAGCCCAUACUUUUCUUUUUUCUUUAGAAUUCUUUUUGGGCUUUUAGUCCUUCAACCUUUUGUUGUUUGGGCCCUUCCUUGGCCCUUUUGGUUUUUUUUUUCACAGGAGCUCUUAGUGUGUUGUAUGUUGUUUCAAGGAUUUUAGGUUUUAUUUGUCCUGUUUAAUAAAAUUAUUUAAUUUAUCAAUAUCCUUUUUUAAGGAAUUUAUUUAUAUUUUGAUUCUAUUUAAUAUUUAUAUUUAUUUAUUUAAAGAAAUGAAGCUUGAUAUAGGUAAAUAUAUCAAGCUUGACAUAUAUAUGAGAUGGAAGUGUGAUACAAUUCAUUCAGAUUAAUUGCAGCAAACGCAUCUCUUUUCCACAAUCUGUUAUUAACAUGCACUAAACACAGAUAGCGAGCAGUAAAGAAGAAUUCUUGCUUGCAAACUAAAUUCAUGCACAAAGCAAAAAAUCAUGCAUAACACACAAAAUUUGCAGUCCUUAAAUAAGAGACUAAUGUUUUCACACAACUUCAAGUCUUCAACUUACAACAAUUUUAGUUACAAACACCACUCAGCACUGAGGUUUCAUAAUCCUCGACAAAAUCCAAAACAAGUCACAAUCCUUAAAUUCAUACAACAAUGUGGUAAUACAACAAUUGGAAUUCAAAUCAUGGGAUGACGCGGCGUGAUCCCUUCGCCUCUCUCAUUUGCCUGAAAAUUUAAUGUAAUAGAUCUAGAUGAUAUCACUAUUUUUGUGAUUUUUAAAGUGAAAUUGCAUUAUAAAAAUGUAAUCUUGGAGAUUAGAAAGAAGAGCAGUGGUUGAAGAUAGAAAUAGAGAGAAGGAGGCGAGAUUGAGAGAAAGAUAAUUCCAUAAUACUUAGGAGGUGAUUGGUAUGGUGGAAUGGAGGUGGGAAUGGAAUGGUGAUUCCUACCUCCAUUCCAUUCCUUUGCUUGGUAUAGUUUUUUGGUAGGAAUCAUCAUUCCAUUUGGAAUCACCAUUCCUACAUCUAUGGGAAUCACCAUUCCUCCCACCCAUCAUGGUAUUAGCCAUUCCGUGACAGCUUCAGAGCAGAGUUGCGCUGGGCAGCGCAUAGGGGCAGAGCAGAGCUGCGUUGGGCAGCGCAUAGGAGCAGAGCUGCGCUUCCGGUUAUAGCUAAAUUCUCACCUUCCCCAACCAUGUUCGUGACAAUACCCCCGGAUUUUCAGAUCCUUGUCCGCAAGGGUCAGUAAUAGCAAACUUUUUGUGAAGGAUUUUUACAUCCACCCAUUCUGACGAAUCCACACCUGUUGCAGUCCACUGCAACAGGUGGUGUCGUUCAUCCAAAGCAUUCACCUUCGUCCUGAUCUUGCUGCAGCUGGUGUCGUCUAAUUUUAGCAGAACACUCUGCAAUCGAUCCAUCUCUUCAUAGGCAGGUAGUAAGAUUUGUGGAGAGUGGGAAAUGAGAGAAAUGCGAGACGAUUGUAGAAUACGGUGAAUCGUAUUCUUCAGAGAAGUGGCUGCAGCAUAAGCCGCCAUGACUUGAUUGAAAUAUGAUUGUGGUGGUGGUGGUGGAAGGUGUGAAGCCGGAGAAGUACUUGGCGACGGCGGUAGGUGGUGGUGAUGGAAGGAUAAGGAUUUUGAAGGUGGAAUUGUGAAAAUGAGAGCCUCUCCACAAAGUCAGCUCUUCACAACGUGGAAAUACUACGCUGCUAUGCUUUGAAAUUGAGGCCAUAUACACAUCAUUGUUUAAAGAUGAUCAACGGUCAUAUGUGGAUAAUCAAGACUUGGAGAUUAAUCGAAAAGUUUGAAUAAGUAAUUAGUGUGGUUUGAGGGGAACGAUUUUUAAUAAAUGAUUUAACAUGAUUAAAUUUUUAUAAAUAUUGAAUAUGAAUACGAUUUAAAAUAUAAAAAGUAUUAUUAGAAAAAAAAAUUAGUAGUAAUUUUUUUGGACGGACGACGAUAGUAACAAAAUACUACUAAUAUUUUCGCAAUAGAUUGGUAGGUGAGAAUCUUGGUUUGUCACCAUUUUUUUUUUUUUUAAACUCCUAAACCAACAAAUUCAGAUUUUACUAGUGAACAGAAAGUACAAUUGAUGAUAAUUGUAUCCGUAAAACGUUGAAACAAAGAACAAAAAUCAAGAGAGCAGGCUAAAAUCUCACUUUCAGUUACCAACAUAAGUAAAAUUUGCAAAUCAACUUUUCCUGGUAAUAAAAAAUUAACUCAAACCCUGAAACCCCUGCUGUUUCUUCUUCCUCUUGCCCUCUCAAACUUCCUUCCCUUGGCUCGCACGUAAGGCUUCGUGUGGCUGUGUGGCACACCAGGGGCUGGACCGAAAAUGAGUGGUUGAGCUUUGAUGGGCUUUGAAGGAUAAGCCGCCAUGACUUGAUUGAAAUAUAUUGUGUGGUGGUGGUGGUGGAAGGUGUGAAGGGGGAGGAGUUGGCGACGGCGGUAGGUGGUGGUGAUGGAAGGAUAAGGAUUUUGAAGGUGGAAUUGUGAAAAUGAGAGCCUCUCCACAAAGUCAGCUCUUCACAACGCGGAAUUACUACGCUGCUAUGCUUUGAAAUUGAGGCCAUAUACACAUCAUUGAUUAAAGAUGAUCAUUGGCCAUAUGUGGAUAAUCAUGAUUUGGAGAUUAAUCGAAAAGUUUGAAUAAGUAAUUAGUGUGGUUUGAGGGGAACGAUAUUUAAUAAAUGAUUUAACAUGAUUAAAUUUUUAUAAAUAUUGAAUAUGAAUACGAUUUAAAAUAUAAAAAGUAAUAUUAGAAAAAAAAAUUAGUAGUAAUUUUUUUGGACGGACGACGAUAGUAACAAAAUACUAAUAUUUUCGCAAUAUAUUGGUAGGUGAGAAUCUUGGUUUGUCACCAUGAUCAUAUUUCUGUGCUGCUGAAAUGCUUCUUGCAAUAGAUUGGUAGCUAAGAAAUUAAUUCACAACUAAUAUAUAAAUAUGUAAUCGCAAUUGGUAACCAACAAAUCAAGAGAGCCAAUUUUAUGAAUUCAUCUAAGACAGCUACAAGAAUUUUGCUCAUAGACAACAGAGACAAUAAACUCAACUGCUCUGCUCUGAUUCUAACACCUUGUUUGAUCCUCAUAUGAAAAUUUAAUGAACUAAUUCCAAGUUAAUUUUGAAAUUAUGAACCCAGAAAUUAAUUAGUACUAGCAUUUGCACUCGUGUAACGCACGAAAAAUAUUUAUAUAUUUUAUUAUAUAUAAAUUGAUAUUAAUUUGAUUAUUAUAUAAAAAUUCUAAAUAUAAUUAAAAAUACUAUAAUUUAAGAUAAAUAUAUUUUAGUUUAAUAUAAAAAUAAUAAAGAAUAAUUCAUAUUAAUAAAAAUUGAUAUUGUAAAAAAAGAAAACAAUAUAAGUUAAAAGAUAAUUGAAAAAAAUAUAUAUUUAUUCAAAAAAGGAGGAGACAGGAGAGAGAAUUUUCUUAAGUUUUAAUUUUUAAAUAAAUAUAAUUUUUAUAUUUUAAAUUCAAUAUUUACAUAACAUAUAUCAAAUUAAAGCACUUGUCAUGAUCUUUAACUGAUAUGCAUAUCAAAUAUUUUAUAAUUAGUCGAAUUUCACAAUUUUAAAAAAGAAAUAAAAUAGAAAAAUAAGAAGUUAAAGAAAAAAGGAAAAAAAAAUGUAUAGCUUAUAAAUAAACCUUCAAUUUUGUUCUAACUACAAAAUUGUCACUCAAUUUUGAAAUUGAUUUGAAAUCAAUUUGAAAUCAGUUUGAAAUUGAUAACUCUCUUUUUUUAAUAUAGUAUAGAUAUUGACCGAAAUCUGAAAAUGUUAAGCUAUUAAAAAACACAUAUAUCAACUUAUUACACACAAGAUCAAAACAAAGUGAAAUCAUGCAUAACAAGUAAUGCUUUCACACAAAUCCAACUUACAACAAUUUCAGCAUUCAAGUUUCAUAAUCCUCAACAAAAUCCAAAUCAAGUUACAAUCCUUAAAUUCACACGAGUCUGACCCCUUCAGCUCUCCCAUUUGCCUGAAAAUUUAUAGAAAUGUGACUAUAACGAAGAUAUAUAUUUUUGACAUGAACUGAUUUGAGUUGUCUGUGAAAAAAGAGAAAGAGCAGGGAAGAAACAUUAAGACGUGCUAUAUAUUGCAAAGUAGUAUAAGACUAACCUGUCGGGCAAGUUGCUGAGUCACUUGAGCUCAAAAAGAAGAACGAGUGAUAAGUUUGAUGUAAAACGAGCCUUUUAAUUGAUUGGUACAAAAGACAACUAAAGGAUUGCACUCAUCUAAUUCAAUGGACGUCAUCGAAGACUGAUCAACCGACAAAUCGAGUUGUUGCAAUUUGUAGCAGUGCUUCAUCCUUAGUGCACGAAGCCUCGGGAGGCUUCCACGUUGAGGUCUCCAUUGCACCAAAUCGGUGUCUUCAAUUCGAAGUUCAAUAAGAUUCAAGAAACUCCCCGGUUUUAUUUCCCACUCUGGGCCUCGAAAGGCAUAGCAAUGUAAUGUGAGAAGCUCG
rnacentral:lncRNA from 1 species